AUUGAACGCUGGCGGCAGGCCUAACACAUGCAAGUCGAGCGGAUGAGAGGAGCUUGCUUCUCGAUUCAGCGGCGGACGGGUGAGUAAUGCCUAGGAAUCUGCCUGGUAGUGGGGGACAACGUUUCGAAAGGAACGCUAAUACCGCAUACGUCCUACGGGAGAAAGCAGGGGACCUUCGGGCCUUGCGCUAUCAGAUGAGCCUAGGUCGGAUUAGCUAGUUGGUGAGGUAAUGGCUCACCAAGGCGACGAUCCGUAACUGGUCUGAGAGGAUGAUCAGUCACACUGGAACUGAGACACGGUCCAGACUCCUACGGGAGGAAGCAGUGGGGAAUAUUGGACAAUGGGCGAAAGCCUGAUCCAGCCAUGCCGCGUGUGUGAAGAAGGUCUUCGGAUUGUAAAGCACUUUAAGUUGGGAGGAAGAGUUGUAGAUUAAUACUCUGCAAUUUUGACGUUACCGACAGAAUAAGCACCGGCUAACUCUGUGCCAGCCGCCGCGGUAA
rnacentral:rRNA from 1 species